rnacentral:rRNA from 1 species
AGCGAACGUUGGCGGCGCGCCUAACACAUGCAAGUCGAACGCGAAAAGCCUUCGGGCUGAGUAGAGUGGCGCACGGGUGAGUAACACGUGAGUAAUCUGCCCUUUGGACUGGGAUAACAUGCCGAAAGGCGUGCUAAUACCGGAUAAGACCACGAUUCCUGCGGGAGUUGUGAGAAAAGACGGGGAUCCGCAAGGACCUGUCACCAUAGGAUGAGCUCGCGGCCUAUCAGCUAGUUGGCGGGGUAACGGCCCACCAAGGCUAAGACGGGUAGCUGGUCUGAGAGGAUGAUCAGCCACACUGGAACUGAGACACGGUCCAGACUCCUACGGGAGGCAGCAGUGGGGAAUUUUGCGCAAUGGACGAAAGUCUGACGCAGCGACGCCGCGUGUGCGAUGAAGGCCUUUGGGUCGUUAAGCACUGUCGACCGGGACGAAAACUCCACGGACUAAUACUUCGUGAGUCUGACGGUACUGGUAAA